rnacentral:pre_miRNA from 1 species
AGUGAGGUGGCUGGGUCAAAUAGUAUUUCCAUUCCAAGUUUUUUGAGGAAUAUCUAUACUGCUUUCCAUAGUGGUUGCACUAAUUUGCAGUCCCACCAGCAAG